UUUAUUAUUUUCAUUUAUUUGCUUAUUAUCUCAGUCUUACAUACUUAAAAACUUAAUUAGAUAAAUAACUUAGUACUUUAAUGCUAACGCCACUACAAGCCCUCUUGGUAGAGCACUCCAUUCGAACGGCUACUGCGGUUAUACUCCUGAUAAGUAGUAGCCGGUUGUGUCUGUUGCAUACUGUAUUCACCAUAAGGAGAAACCGAGCGUUUAUUAUACGUAUAACGGGAUUUUAUUAUGUUGUUGGCCUUAAGGUGCCCAUUGGGUUGUUGCAUGGGCAUAGAUCCCAUAUCGGGUGGAUAUACACCCUGAUUAUAAUAAUUCGGAGUUGGGUAUGAUGUUGGUGAUGAGUAUUGUUGUUGUGGGUGUUGUUGUUGGUCAUAUAGUGUUGUUUGUUGGUAUUGUGUGGGAUAUUGUGAGCCUUGCAUUUGCAAUGGGUAUUGUGUGUGUUGUUGUGUUUGUGCGAAAUUUGUGUUUGGUGAGUACUGUUCCAAUUGUUGGUAGUGUUGUUGUUGUUCAUAUGUCAUUGCAGAGUAUGGAUGUUGAGUGUAUUGUGUAUUUACGCUUUGUGUCUGCUCUCCGACCAGUGUCUGCUCUUUCUGGAGUUGUGUGGAUUGUGUUUGUGUAUUUUCUGUAUAGUUUUCUGGAUCUGUAACAUUUAUCGGUUUGCGAUGAUAUAUCACCGGUGGCAUUUUGACCAGCACUGGUGCAUCAUUCGUUUCCAAUUCGAUAAUUUUACUCGACUCUGGCAAAUUAACCACCACAGGUGUUUCUUCAAGCGCUUGAUUCAUAAUUGAUGUGUCAUUUGGAUAUUGACUCUUUUUGGCCGCUGUUUGAGUAUAUUCUGACCCAGUGUAGACAUUUAAAGAUUUGCUAUUAACUUGCUCGACUCCAACAAAGCAGCUGAUUAUAAUAUAUGUGCGCUAUCAUAAAAACAUUUAUCUAAGCACCAGGUGAGUCACACUUUUUAUAUAUUGUUAAUAUUUACAUAGACAUUUCAGUUGAUUUUACGACGAUAAACGAAAUACUUUCACACUUAGUGUCCACAUAUCUGUUAAUCACUGUACUUUAUGCCGCAUCGCUUGUAGCAUGAGCACAAAAUUUCUCUCACGAUCUCGCUAUUAUGCUCUCAAAUGCCACUCCGCCCACAAGCCAUUUGAAAUAAACUAAAAUUUAUAUCUUCUUGCGCUGCCAUUCGUCACACAGUCCAGUGCUUCUUACAUAUUUCGCUUCUUUAUAGCUCAUUUUUAAAGUGCACAUGGCCCUUCCAUGCCGCUAGUGCAAUUGCAAACAAUCGAAAUUAUUAUAUUUAGAUUAUGGCACUGUAUUGCUAUAAAACCGAAUCACCCCAUAGUUUAGGCACUAAAUUCAAAUCUAAUUGCUGCAAUUGAAAUGCCAUUUGCAUGAUCUGAUCGCUGCGGCGAGCAAAGCAGAAGGCAAUGUAAAAGUAUUCCUCAUACCCGCUCAUAGCAGCUAAAGCUUCUGCUUUUUAGCUACUUGUAUAAUUUUCGAUUGUGCUCGGUAAACACAUUGUUCGCUGGCAUGCCGAGAUAACGAAUGACCAAUUCACUUCACUGCGGGUGCUUUGAUUAUAAAAUGGUGUAUGUAGCCUGCUAGUGGUGGGUACCUGAGCAA